rnacentral:rRNA from 1 species
ACGUAGGGUGCAAGCGUUAAUCGGAAUUACUGGGCGUAAAGCGUGCGCAGGCGGUUCGUUGUGUCGGUGGUGAAAUCCCCGGGCUUAACCUGGGAAUGGCCAUGGAAACUGGCGAACUGGAGUGUGGCAGAGGGGGAUGGAAUUCCGCGUGUAGCAGUGAAAUGCGUAGAUAUGCGGAGGAACACCGAUGGCGAAGGCAAUCCCCUGGGCCUGUACUGACGCUCAUGCACGAAAGCGUGGGGAGCAAACAGGA